ensembl:snoRNA
AUGCCCGAUGAUUAUAACAAGACGCGUUAUUACGAGGACCAAUGCUGGAACUUCCAUUUCUCUCUUCCCUCACCUCUUGGUUCUUUUUCUCCAACACUCUUCUUACCUUUCUAUUUUCCUCUUUCUUCCUCCUACCUUACCUCUGCCUUUGGAAUAUCCAGUGUCCUGUGAGCAAGAUUAUGAGAUAUGAGGGCAG